rnacentral:rRNA from 1 species
ACAAGCGGUGGAUCAUGUUGUUUAAUUCGAUGAUACGCGAAGAACCUUACCAGGCUUGACAUCCCCCGCGAUGCUUUAGAGAUAAAGCGGAGGUAUUCGGGAGACAGGUGGUGCAUGGUUGUCGUCAGCUCGUGUCGUGAGAUGUCGGGUUAAGUCCCGCAACGAGCGCAACCCCUAUUGCUAGUUACCAUCAUUAAGUUGGGGACUCUAGCGAGACUGCCAGUGAUAAGGCGGAGGAAGGUGGGGAUGACGUCAAGUCAUCAUGGCCUUUAUGCCCAGGGCUACACACGUGCUACAAUGGCCGGCACAGACGGCAGCUUAGUGGCGACACUUGGCAAAUCCUCUAAAGCCGGUCCCAGUUCGGAUUGCAGUCUGCAACUCGACUGCAUGAAGCCGGAAUCGCUAGUAAUCGCAGAUCAGCCAAGCUGCGGUGAAUACGUUCCCGGGCCUU